CUGCGGGUGGCUGCAGUGGGGAAUAUUGCACAAUGGGCGAAAGCCUGAUGCAGCAACGCCGCGUGAGUGAAGAAGGCCUUCGGGUCGUAAAACUCUUUUCUUGGGGAAGAAAUGAUGACGGUACCCAAGGAAUAAGCCCCGGCUAAUUACGUGCCAGCAGCCGCGGUAAUACGUAAGGGGCAAGCGUUAUCCGGAAUCACUGGGCGUAAAGGGUGCGUAGGUGGUCCUGUAAGUCAGAAGUGAAAGGCUACGGCUUAACCGUAGUAAGCUUUUGAAACUGUGGGACUUGAGUGCAGGAGAGGAAAGUGGAAUUCCUAGUGUAGCGGUGAAAUGCGUAGAUAUUAGGAGGAACACCAGUGGCGAAGGCGACUUUCUGGACUGUAACUGACACUGAGGCACGAAAGCGUGGGGAGCAAACAGGAUUAGAUACCCUGGUAGUC
rnacentral:rRNA from 1 species